rnacentral:rRNA from 1 species
GAUUUCUGGUACGGCGCACUUGGCCCGUCUCGGUUACGAGUAUGUGUGCCGGUGUGCGCCUGCCAUCCAUCUAGAGAACAUUGUCGCCCUUCACUGGGUGGGCAAUGGUAUCUAGAUCUUUUACUUUGAAAAAAUUAGAGUGUUUAAAGCAGGCUUGUGCUAUGAAUACAUUAGCAUGGAAUAAUAAUUUAGGACUUUGGUCUUAUUUUGUUGGUUUCUAGGACUAAAGUAAUGAUUGAUAGGGAUAGUUGGGGGUGCUAGUAUUCAGCGGCCAGAGGUGAAAUUCUUGGAUUCGCUGAAGACUAACUUAUGCGAAAGCAUU